rnacentral:rRNA from 1 species
GAUGAACGCUGGCGGCGUGCCUAAUACAUGCAAGUCGAGCGAACAGACGAGGAGCUUGCUCCUCUGAUGUUAGCGGCGGACGGGUGAGUAACACGUGGAUAACCUACUUAUAAGACUGGUAUAUCUUCGGGACACCGGAUCUAAUCCCGUAUAACAUGCUGAACCGUAUGGUUCAACAGUGAAAGACGGUUUUUCUGUCACUUCUAGAUGGAUCCCGGCCGCAUUAGCUAGUUGUUAAGGUAAGAGCUUACCAAGGCAACCAUGCGUAGCCGAACUGAGAGAGUGAUAGGCCACAUUGGAAGUGAAACACGGACAAGGGGACUAAGGGAGGGAGCAGUAGCGAAUCGGCCGCAGUAGGCGAGAACAUGACAGAACAAGGCCGAGUGAGAGAAGAAAGUCUUCGGAUCGUAAAAAUCGGUUAUUAGGGAAGAACAGAUGUGGAAGGAAAUAUACACGGAGUGACGGUAACGAAUAAGAAAGCAACGGCUAACUACGUG